rnacentral:rRNA from 1 species
CGGAAUUUCAGGCAUUGUAAGGUCCGUGAGAGGUGAAUUCUUGGACCGUGGCCAGACAAACUACAGCGAAAGCAUUUGAAAAGGGUGUUUUUAUUAAUCAAGAACGAAAGUCAGAGGUUCGAAGGAGAUCAGAUACCGCCCUAGUUCUGACCGUAAACGAUGCCAACUAGCGAUCCGCCGAUGGAAAUUAUAUUGCCUUGGUGGGGAGCUUCCCGGAAACGAAAGUCUUCCGGUUCCGGGGGAAGUAUGGUUGCAAAGCUGAAACUUAAAGGAAUUGACGGAAGGGCACCACCAGGAGUGGAGCCUGCGGCUUAAUUUGACUCAACACGGGGAAACUCACCCGGCCCGGACACUGUGAGGAUUGACAGAUUGAUAGCUUUUUCAUGAUUCAGUGGAUGGUGGUGCAUGGCCGUUCUUAGUUCGUGGAGUGAUUUGUCUGGUUUAUUCCGAUAACGAGCGAGACUCUAACCUACUAAAUAGUUGGUACAUACUCUUAGUGUAUACAGCUUCUUAGAGGGAUUUGCGGCGUUCAGCCGAAAGAAAUUGAGCAAUAACAGGUCUGUGAUGCCCUUAGAUGUCCGGGGCUGCACGCGCGCUACACUGGCAAAAUCAACGUGCUUGUCCUACCCUGAAAGGGGCGGGUAAACCAUUGAAAAUUUGCCGUGAUUGGGAUCGGAAAUUGCAAUUAUUUUCCGUGAACGAGGAAUUCCAAGUAAGUGCGAGUCAUCAGCUCGCGUUGAUUACGUCCCUGCCCUUUGUACACACCGCCCGUCGCUGCCCGGGACUGAGCCAUUUCGAGAAAUUUGGGGACCGUUGAUUUAAUUUUUUCUAAAUUACUUUGAUGGAAACCAAUUUAAUCGCAGUGGGCUUGAAACCC